rnacentral:tRNA from 1 species
GUAUUGGUAGUUCAGUGGUAGAAUUCUCACCUCCCACAUGGGAGACCGAGGUUCAAUUCCUAGCCGAUGCA